rnacentral:rRNA from 1 species
GACGUAGGGCGCGAGCGUUGUCCGGAUUUAUUGGGCGUAAAGAGCUCGUAGGCGGUGUGUCACGUCGGCCGUGAAAACCUGCAGCUUAACUGUGGGCGUGCGGUCGAUACGGGCAUCACUGGAGUUCGGCAGGGGAGACUGGAAUUCCUGGUGUAGCGGUGAAAUGCGCAGAUAUCAGGAGGAACACCGGUGGCGAAGGCGGGUCUCUGGGCCGAUACUGACGCUGGAGGAGCGGAAAGCGUGGGGAGCGAACAGG